rnacentral:lncRNA from 1 species
UAGAAUAAAAUUUAUUUUUCUCCAACCUUGCAUAAUGUUUGCACAUAUCCACAUUAACAAAUAGAAGAAACAGAAGAAUACUGAAGACAGAGUCUUUGAUGACAGAAUCAAUGCUAAACACUGCCCUUGACCAGGUUAUCUGGCUCAUAAUCAUCGCCUUGACUAGUGACGCGCUCACCCUUAACAUCCGUCUCAUCAAAGUAGUCCUCCCGAGCAUUGUCCGCUAGCAUCAGGGAGACCAACCAGAAAAGAGCUGAAUCAAGAGACAGAAAGGCUCCUCCACCAAGAAGACCAGUCUUGGCAGUGGGACAAUCUGUUUACAGAUUGUGAUGAACCUUAUGGCUCAGGUGCAGUUGUUCUGUGAUAGUUGGCCACAAGAGCAUUGCUAGAGCUAAUCCAGUCAAGCCCAAAGCAAUAUCGAAAAAGACAGAGAAGCCAGUGUUCCGGAACAAAGCAGCCUGGGGAACAGACUUGCCUUGGUAAGGAUAAAACAAGGACAGGUAUCCAGCCACACCAGCAGCGACUAGAAACACAAUUGAACAAAUGCCAAGGGCUACAGUCGGAUCUUUUGGAUAAUUGCAAAUGACAAUAUCUUUCAUCGUCACUGCAGUACCAGAUGCUGGCUUCUUGUUUUCAGCAACCACCCCGAAUAUGAAGGACAACGCUCCCAGUGUUGCUAUUA